rnacentral:lncRNA from 1 species
UUUAAAGUUCAGUUCUUUAAUAUUUAUUAUAUGCCUGUCACCCAAUAAUCUGAAAAAACAUCACCACAAUGAAGUUUCUUUUGGGUGAAGAAUUAGGAAGAAUUCAAGGAAAAAAAAAAAAAUCAAUUCGUAUUAAAAACAAUCUUCUUCCAACAGUUAAUCUCAUUACUUACCAUUUUUAAUUCGAUUAGAAACAAAAAACAACUUAUCCUCUAGUUCUCACAAUG